GGUCGGUUAGCUCAGUUGGUAGAGCGUUACGUUGACAUCGUAAAGGUCGCUGGUUCGAGCCCAGUACCGACCACCA
rnacentral:tRNA from 1 species